AGGGGGCAACCCCUUGAGAGUGGCGAACGGGUGAGUAAUGCAUCGGAACGUGCCCAGUCGUGGGGGAUAACUACUCGAAAGAGUGGCCUAAUACCCCAUACGACCUGAGGGUGAAAGCGGGGGACCGAAAGGCCUCGCGCGAUUGGAGCGGCCGAUGUCAGAUUAGGUAGUUGGUGGGGUAAAGGCCUACCAAGCCUGCGAUCUGUAGCUGGUCUGAGAGGACGACCAGCCACACUGGGACUGAGACACGGCCCAGACUCCUACGGGAGGCAGCAGUGGGGAAUUUUGGACAAUGGGCGCAAGCCUGAUCCAGCCAUGCCGCGUGCGGGAAGAAGGCCUUCGGGUUGUAAACCGCUUUUGUCAGGGAAGAAAUCCUUUGGGUUAAUACCUCGGAGGGAUGACGGUACCUGAA
rnacentral:rRNA from 1 species